rfam:Haemonchus contortus, ISE/inbred ISE, WGS project CAVP01000000 data, contig: Hcontortus_30900
GGCCCAACUCUGGAAUAAAUUAGAUUAGAAGGAUCAGCUGAUACUACUAAUCUAAUUUAUUCCAAAGUUGGGCCC